GAGGCCCUAGACCCGUCAUAGCUCGACCCCUUAACAGGGUGAGCCAGCGUGGCAUGCCUGUUGCUGUCUCUGUCCACGGUUAACAAACUCAAGUUUCUCUCCAAAUCUGGGCGAAAAUUUUAAAAAGAAAUUUUUCGUACUGGAUAAGUUAAUGCAUACCUCUCGAUUGCAACCGUCUUCUCGAAUGCGAUUGGAACGCGGAACAGCUAGAUAUGGGCCGCCAUCAGUGUUCCUCCGAGACGCAAAUCUAAGAGACAACUUAGAAAUUAAAAAGAAGUAUUUCAAGAUGCAAUGAAAGCAUACAAAGAUGUCCAAUUCUCUGUCCACAUUGAUGGCUUCUUCACUGAGUUGGGCCCUGCAAAUGUUUCUCCACAUCUCAUCCCAUUGCAGGUUACAUGAUUUGCAUUUUUGUUCAUAAUGAAAAGAGGAAAGAACCAACCACUGGAUCAGGAGCAUCAGCUUGCUUGCACAUCACCCAUGGCACUCCAGUUUCAAGCUCAACUGCCAUCUUUGCUGCCCAUCGAACAUAUGAAGGUCCUUUUUCACCAAAAGCUGCUUCAAUGUUUUGAUAUUCAUUCUCAAUCUGUAUGGCAUUAGUUUUCAGAUUUUGCAAUGACAAAAAACUAUUGAAACUUGUUUAUAAUUAAUGAAAUGCUGAACUUCAUUGUA